rnacentral:rRNA from 1 species
GGAUUUAUUGGGUUUAAAGGGUGCGCAGGCGGUCUAUUAAGUUAGUGGAGAAAUCGUCCGGCUUAACCGGAUACCGGCCAUUGAUACUGGUAGGCUUGAGUGCGACAGAGAGUACUAGAAUGCGUGGUGUAGCGGUGAAAUGCAUAUAUAUCACGCAGAAUACCAAUUGAGAAGGCAGGUACCUAUGUCGUAACUGUCGGUCAGGCACGAUAGCGUGGGGAGCGAACAGGAUUAGAUCCCUUGGUAGUCCACGCUGUAAACGAUGAUCACUAGGUGUUCGGGAGUUUAUCCUGAGUGCCCCAGUGAAAGCGAUAAGUGAUCCACCUGGGGAGUACGUUCGCAAGAAUGAAAUUCAAAGGAAUUGACGGGGGCCCGCCCAAGCGGUGGAGCAUGUGGUUUAAUUGGAUGAUACGCGAGGAACCUUACCUGGGCUACAAUGUCUGUGCCAGCCGCGGAAAGGUGGUUUUCCUUCGGGACAGAGUGCAAGGUGGUGCAUGGUUGUUGUCAGCUCGUGCUGUGAGGUGUUGGGUUAAGUCCCGCAACGAGCGCAACCCCUAUUGUUAGUUGCCAGCAUUUCGGAUGGGGACUCUAGAGAAACUGCCUCCGCAAGGAGUGAGGAAGGUGGGGAUGACGUCAAAUCAUCGUGGCCCUUACGCCCAGGGCGACACACGUGCUACAAUGGACGGUACAACGGGUCGCCACACAGCGAUGCUAGCCAAUCUCUAAUAAC